AGAGGUAGAGAGGAGAAUUGGAGACACACCUUUGAUCCUUGCUCUUCCCUUUCAUUAGUUACUCUUUGUUUGAUAAAUUGUAUUGUUUUAAGCAUGUUUUCAAUUUGUAUUAUGCAUUGCAAAUUUCCUUAACUAAGGUUAAGGAGGAAACCACAUUAUGAAAUAAGUUUCAUUUAAAUUAUCUGUCUCUAUUCCCAUAAUUAUGUUUUUCAUGCCUACGACUCUUGCUUCAAAAUGCAUUAAUAAAAUAUUUGUUCCUUUCACCUUUAAUGUCAUGCAUUUUUGGUAGUUUGGAAGUCACUUUUAUUAAUCCAUGCUUGGCUUAGUAAAAUAUUUGACAUGAACUCCUUUGAUCUCUUGUUAUUCAAAUGAGCUUGUUUCACAUUUGAUGCUUAGUACACACUUUGAUCUUUUGUAGUUUCAAUAAGUUUGUGUACAUGUGAUGCUUUGGUGUUCAUAAUCAAGAAGCAAAGAAGAGUCUACUUUAGAUCAUUUACAUGUAUGCGUUAUUGUUAAAUCUUGAGCAAGCAGUAGAUUGAUUUCUAGAUUGCUACUCCUAGUUUGGGAAUUGAUAGAUAAUACUUCAAGAUUUAUUUAGUAAUGUGGUGGAAUCUGAUACCUUAGUUACUUCAUCAUCAAGGUAAUUUUUAUCUAUUUACUUUAUUUUAGUUCAACCACAUCAUAUCCAACUUUUAUUUAACUAGAUUAGCAUUAAGUUAAUUUCAGUUUGAUUAGUUUUUCCUAUUUCACAGUCCCUGUGGGUUCGACCUCGCUCUUGCAUUUCUUUGCUACAAUUGAUUCGUGCGCUUGUGAGUAACAUUUUAAAACACAUUAGCCACCGUAGCCCUAAACAAUACCAUUAGUCCAUGUUUGACCAAGAAAGCGCCACCCUUUGUCAUGGUGGUUGCAGUGAAUCACCAGUAUCCAACCCCAAUGAUUCAACUCACACUCACAGCCACUUGAGAGCCAUUGAUCGCCACCUCAUGCACCAUAAGUUGAUGUCGACUAGUACCAAGGGUGAUCCAUACUAGAUAUAACUAUUGGUCUAAACCAGGGGCAGAUCCAACCAUGGGAUGGGUAGGGCUUAAGCCCUGCGGAGCUUUUUGGGCCCAUAAAAAAAAAAUUUGGUAUAUAGUUUUUUUUUAGGACUAGUUUUCUCCUUUCAAGCCCCACCGCCAAACUCAAUCCGAUCCUUGGAGCACUCCCGACUCGGCUACCUGCAAGAGUGUAAGGCUGGAACCAACAUGUCAGCAACCCGUCUCUAGUCUCCGAGCUCUGCCUCCAGGCUCUAGCCUCCCCACCGGCCACUGCCGAACUCGAGGUUGGAGAGUCUGUCCAGCAACCAGUCUCCGCCUCUGCAGCUCUCCGGUCUCCAAGCUCUGCCUCACUCCCUCUCCAUCUUCUUCUCCUCCUCGGCGACGUGUCCUCGCCUCCUCUAGUCCUCCUCUCCUCUUCUUAUCUACUGAAGUUCUGGCUUCUUAUCUUUUGAAGUUCUGGGCUUCUAGGUUUCUGAAUUCUAAAUUUCUAAUAUGUAAUUUACAGUUCAAUUAAUCGAUUUCCAUUUGAUGAUUUGAUCUUGUGACUUGUUGGUUUUUAACUAAGGUAAUGCCAUAAUGGUAUAGUUGAAUUGUUGAAAUGAGUUCGAUUUCGAAUUUCCAAUUGAUCUUGAUGGUAUAAUUGCAAACAGUCAAAAUGAUAUAAAUAUAUAAUUGAUUUUUAUGAGCUUAUGAGCUUACUAAUUAAGUGAUUAACUGGUUGAAAUGGUCAUUUGAUAGUUCAAUUUCCUUUUGAUCUUGAUGUUGAAUUGUUGAUUACUUGAUUUUAAUCAAGGUAAUGAUACUGAUUGGGUAGUUAGAAAUGGGUUUGAUAAAUUGAUUUCCAUUUAAUGUUGAUUUCUUCUUCAAUUGCAAAUUCAUGAUUGACAGAUUGUAUCAAUAAGAGUGUUGCACUCGGUCAGUGAGGAAAAGGCCUCAGAACUCAUAAGCAAAGGUGUUACACUAAAAUGUCAAAUCAUGAGCCGAAACCGAAG